rnacentral:rRNA from 1 species
AGGGUUCGAUUCUGGCUCAGGAUGAACGCUGGCGGCGUGCUUAACACAUGCAAGUCGAACGGAGCCUAUCGAGUGCUUGCACUUGAGAAGCUAGUGGCGGACGGGUGAGUAACGCGUGGGUAACCUGCCCUAUACUGGGGGAUAACAGUUGGAAACGACUGCUAAUACCGCAUAAGCCUACAGAACCGCAUGAUUCAGUAGGAAAAACUCCGGUGGUAUAGGAUGGACCCGCGUCUGAUUAGCUAGUUGGUGAGGUAACGGCCCACCAAGGCGACGAUCAGUAGCCGGCCUGAGAGGGUGAACGGCCACAUUGGGACUGAGACACGGCCCAAACUCCUACGGGAGGCAGCAGUGGGGAAUAUUGCACAAUGGGGGAAACCCUGAUGCAGCGAACCGCCGCGUGAGUGAAGAAGUAUUUCGGUAUGUAAAGCUCUAUCAGCAGGGAAGAUAAUGACGGUACCUGACUAAGAAGCACCGGCUAAAUACGUGCCAGCAGCCGC